UAUUGGACAAUGGGCGAAAGCCUGAUCCAGCCAUGCCGCGUGAGUGAAGAAGGCCUUAGGGUUGUAAAGCUCUUUCAGCGGGGACGAGAAUGACGGUACCCGCAGAAGAAGUCCCGGCUAACUUCGUGCCAGCAGCCGCGGUAAUACGAAGGGGACUAGCGUUGUUCGGAUUUACUGGGCGUAAAGCGCGCGUAGGCGGACGCUUAAGUCAGGGGUGAAAUGCCAGGGCUCAACCUUGGAAUUGCCUUUGAUACUGAGUGUCUGGAGUUCGGGAGAGGUGAGUGGAAUUCCGAGUGUAGAGGUGAAAUUCGUAGAUAUUCGGAGGAACACCAGAAGCGAAGGCGGCUCACUGGCCCGAUACUGACGCUGAGGCGCGAAAGCGUGGGGAGCAAAC
rnacentral:rRNA from 1 species